UACGUAGGGUGCAAGCGUUGUCCGGAAUUAUUGGGCGUAAAGAGCUCGUAGGCGGUUUGUCGCGUCUGCUGUGAAAACUCGGGGCUUAACUCCGGGCCUGCAGUGGGUACGGGCAGACUAGAGUGCGGUAGGGGAGACUGGAAUUCCUGGUGUAGCGGUGAAAUGCGCAGAUAUCAGGAGGAACACCGGUGGCGAAGGCGGCUUCCUGGCCUGUUCUUGACGCUGAGGCGCGAAAGCUAGGGGAGCAAACGGG
rnacentral:rRNA from 1 species